AUCAUGGGUCUGUCUUGCAUUUUUUGGUAACAGCAUUCUCAGGGCCUUCUGCCAAGGGCCCGCUUUGAUCUCCCUUAAAGGACAGCAUUAUCUGACCAGAGGUAAAUUGUAACCACUGAAAGUCCGCUGUUUCGAUUCUGGGCAAGAUGCUAUGGCAGAACAGGGACCAUGAUGAACUACUUAGAAAAAUACAUAAGGCCAUACCCAUGCAGGAGACCUCUCCAGGUACACAUAUUUCCUGCUACUGAAUGGCUUAGACUGGGAUUUGCAAGGAACUACGAAGUCCAAGACCUUUGCCUUUCUUUUAGAAGAAGGCACCAGCUGGUUCUCCAAUGUUGAAGGUCUUCUCCAGAGAUACCUUAAGGUGUGGGGAGAUUACAACUUGCUCAAGGUCUCAUAGCUAGAAGAUGUCAGAGUGAUAACUCAAACCAUGUCACAUGACUCUAAGCCCAAAGCAGCCUCUAGAAGGUUGUUUGAUCUUCUGAUGGAAGCACAAAUCACCAUUCCAACAUGAAAGAUGGAGAAACUUAAGUCUAGAGAGAUUUAAAGGACUUGUCAAAGGCAAUGAAACAAGUGGAACUCUGAAAGCCACAUGUUGAGAUGGCCCCAUUACAGGAUGGAGAGCACCUGAACCCCCAAGUUAUGGACUAGAAGAAGACAGUUGCCCUGGAAAAUCAUCUGACCCACAUUGGACUUUAUGUGAGGGGGAAAUAAACCUUUAUUAUGUUAAGCUACACAAUAAUAAAUAACAACAAUAAUUGU
rnacentral:lncRNA from 1 species